rnacentral:rRNA from 1 species
CCUACGGGAGGCAGCAGUGAGGAAUAUUGGUCAAUGGCCGCAAGGCUGAACCAGCCAAGUAGCGUGAAGGAAGACUGCCCUACGGGUUGUAAACUUCUUUUAUAAAGGAAUAAAGGUAUGCACGUGUGGCUUUUUGCAUGUACUGUAUGAAUAAGGACCGGCUAAUUCCGUGCCAGCAGCCGCGGUAAUACGGAAGGUCCGGGCGUUAUCCGGAUUUAUUGGGUUUAAAGGGAGCGUAGGUCGGUUUUUAAGCGUGCUGUGAAAGUUUGCGGCUCAACCAUAAGAGUGCAGUUGAUACUGGAGGCCUUGAGUACAGGUGAGGUAGGCGGAAUUCGUGGUGUAGCGGUGAAAUGCUUAGAUAUCACGAAGAACUCCGAUUGCGAAGGCAGCCUGCUGAACCGUCACUGACAUUGAUGCUCGAAAGCGUGGGUAUCAAACAGGAUUAGAUACCCCAGUAGUC